GACAGAGGGUGCAAACGUUGUUCGGAAUUACUGGGCGUAAAGCGUGCGCAGGCGGUUUUGUAAGCCAGAUGUGAAAUCCCCGGGCUUAACCUGGGAAUGGCAUUUGGGACUGCAAGGCUUGAGUGCGGCAGAGGAGACUGGAAUUCCUGGUGUAGCAGUGAAAUGCGUAGAUAUCAGGAGGAACACCGAUGGCGAAGGCAGGUCUCUGGGCUGACACUGACGCUCAUGCUCGAGGAGCGUGGGGAGCAAACAGG
rnacentral:rRNA from 1 species